GUUUGAUCCUGGCUCAGAACGAACGGUAGCGGCGUGGAUUAGGCAUGCAAGUCGAACGAAAGUCCGUUUCGAUGGACGAGAGUGGCGAAAGGGUGAGUAAUGCAUAGACAACCCACCUUCGACUCCGGGAUAACUGGGAGAAAUUCCAGCUAAUACCGGAUAGGUUCACCGAGGCAUAUGCUUUGGUGAGUAAAGGAGGCCUCUUAACAAUGCUCCUGGUUGAAGACGGGUCUAUGUCCUAUCAGCUUGAUGGUGAGGUAACGGCUCACCAUGGCAAUAACGGGUAGCCGACCUGAGAGGGUGACCGGCCACACUGGGACUGAGACACUGCCCAGACUCCUACGGGAGGCUGCAGUCGAGAAUCUUCCGCAAUGGGCGAAAGCCUGACGGAGCGACGCCGCGUGCGGGAUGAAGGCCUUCGGGUUGUAAACCGCUGUCACAGGUUAAGAAUCGGUUUGGUCUUAAUAGGGCCAGGCUCUGACAAAGGCCUGAGAGGAAGCCACGGCUAACUUCGUGCCAGCAGCCGCGGUAAGACGAAGGUGGCAACCGUUGUUCGGAAUCACUGGGCAUAAAGCGCACGUAGGCGGGAGUGCAAGUCGGGUGUGAAAUCCCUCGGCCCAACCGAGGAACUGCGCCCGAAACUGCAUUUCUUGAGGAUAGCAGGGGAGCGUGGAAUUCCUGGUGGAGCGGUGAAAUGCGUUGAUAUCAGGAGGAACACCGGCGGCGAAGGCGACGCUCUGGGCUAUUUCUGACGCUAAGGUGCGAAAGCCAGGGGAGCAAACGGGAUUAGAUACCCCGGUAGUCCUGGCCGUAAACGAUGGGCACUAGGUAGGGGGGAUCCAAUGCCUCCCUGCUGGAGAUAAUUUAUUAAGUGCCCCGCCUGGGGAGUACGCUCGCAAGGGUAUAACUCAAAGGAAUUGACGGGGGCUCACAC
rnacentral:rRNA from 1 species